rnacentral:rRNA from 1 species
GAUGAACGCUGGCGGCGUGCCUAAUACAUGCAAGUCGAGCGAACGGACGAGAAGCUUGCUUCUCUGAUGUUAGCGGCGGACGGGUGAGUAACACGUGGAUAACCUACCUAUAAGACUGGGAUAACUUCGGGAAACCGGAGCUAAUACCGGAUAAUAUUUUGAACCGCAUGGUUCAAAAGUGAAAGACGGUCUUGCUGUCACUUAUAGAUGGAUCCGCGCUGCAUUAGCUAGUUGGUAAGGUAACGGCUUACCAAGGCAACGAUGCAUAGCCGACCUGAGAGGGUGAUCGGCCACACUGGAACUGAGACACGGUCCAGACUCCUACGGGAGGCAGCAGUAGGGAAUCUUCCGCAAUGGGCGAAAGCCUGACGGAGCAACGCCGCGUGAGUGAUGAAGGUCUUCGGAUCGUAAAACUCUGUUAUUAGGGAAGAACAUAUGUGUAAGUAACUGUGCACAUCUUGACGGUACCUAAUCAGAAAGCCACGGCUAACUACGUGCCAGCAGCCGCGGUAAUACGUAGGUGGCAAGCGUUAUCCGGAAUUAUUGGGCGUAAAGCGCGCGUANGCGGUUUUUUAAGUCUGAUGUGAAAGCCCACGGCUCAACCGUGGAGGGUCAUUGGAAACCGGAAAACUUGAGUGCAGAAGAGGAAAGUGGAAUUCCAUGUGUAGCGGUGAAAUGCGCAGAGAUAUGGAGGAACACCAGUGGCGAAGGCGACUUUCUGGUCUGUAACUGACGCUGAUGUGCGAAAGCGUGGGGAUCAAACAGGAUUAGAUACCCUGGUAGUCCACGCCGUAAACGAUGAGUGCUAAGUGUUAGGGGGUUUCCGCCCCUUAGUGCUGCAGCUAACGCAUUAAGCACUCCGCCUGGGGAGUACGACCGCAAGGUUGAAACUCAAAGGAAUUGACGGGGACCCGCACAAGCGGUGGAGCAUGUGGUUUAAUUCGAAGCAACGCGAAGAACCUUACCAAAUCUUGACAUCCUUUGACAACUCUAGAGAUAGAGCCUUCCCCUUCGGGGGACAAAGUGACAGGUGGUGCAUGGUUGUCGUCAGCUCGUGUCGUGAGAUGUUGGGUUAAGUCCCGCAACGAGCGCAACCCUUAAGCUUAGUUGCCAUCAUUAAGUUGGGCACUCUAAGUUGACUGCCGGUGACAAACCGGAGGAAGGUGGGGAUGGCGUCAAAUCAUCAUGCCCCUUAUGAUUUGGGCUACACACGUGCUACAAUGGACAAUACAAAGGGCAGCGAAACCGCGAGGUCAAGCAAAUCCCAUAAAGUUGUUCUCAGUUCGGAUUGUAGUCUGCAACUCGACUACAUGAAGCUGGAAUCGCUAGUAAUCGUAGAUCAGCAUGCUACGGUGAAUACGUUCCCGGGUCU